rnacentral:rRNA from 1 species
CAGCAGCCGCGGUAAUACGUAGGGGGCAAGCGUUGUCCGGAAUUAUUGGGCGUAAAGCGCGCGUAGGCGGUUUCUUAAGUCUGAUGUGAAAUCUUGCGGCUCAACCGCAAGCGGCCAUUGGAAACUGAGGAACUUGAGUACAGAAGAGGAGAGCGGAAUUCCACGUGUAGCGGUGAAAUGCGUAGAUAUGUGGAGGAACACCAGUGGCGAAGGCGGCUCUCUGGUCUGUAACUGACGCUGAGGUGCGAAAGCGUGGGGAGCGAACAGGAUUAGAUACCCUGGUAGUCCACGCCGUAAACGAUGAGUGCUAGGUGUUAGGGGGUUUCCGCCCCUUAGUGCUGCAGUUAACGCAUUAAGCACUCCGCCUGGGGAGUACGGCCGCAAGGCUGAAACUCAAAAGAAUUGACGGGGGCCCGCACAAGCGGUGGAGCAUGUGGUUUAAUUCGAAGCAACGCGAAGAACCUUACCAGGUCUUGACAUCUUCGGAUGUCCCUAGAGAUAGGGAGUUCCCUUCGGGGACCGAAUGACAGGUGGUGCAUGGUUGUCGUCAGCUCGUGUCGUGAGAUGUUGGGUUAAGUCCCGCAACGAGCGCAACCCUUGAUCUUAGUUGCCAGCAUUUAGUUGGGCACUCUAAGGUGACUGCCGGUGACAAACCGGAGGAAGGUGGGGAUGACGUCAAAUCAUCAUGCCCCUUAUGACCUGGGCUACACACGUGCUACAAUGGAUGGAACAAAGGGCAGCGAAGCCGCGAGGUGUAGCAAAUCCCAUAAAUCCAUUCUCAGUUCGGAUUGCAGGCUGCAACUCGCCUGUAUGAAGCCGGAAUCGCUAGUA